GCCAGUGUGGUAUAAUGGUUUGAGCAUUGGACAGUGACUCUGGAGAUCAGGGUUCAAUUCUCUGCUUUGCCA